GAUGAACGCUGGCGGCGUGCCUAAUACAUGCAAGUCGAGCGAAUGGAUUAAGAGCUUGCUCUUAUGAAGUUAGCGGCGGACGAGUGAGUAACACGUGGGUAACCUGCCCAUAAGACUGGGAUAACUCCGGGAAACCGGGGCUAAUACCGGAUAACAUUUUGAACCGCAUGGUUCGAAAUUGAAAGGCGGCUUCGGCUGUCACUUAUGGAUGGACCCGCGUCGCAUUAGCUAGUUGGUGAGGUAACGGCUCACCAAGGCAACGAUGCGUAGCCGACCUGAGAGGGGGAUCGGCCACACUGGGACUGAGACACGGCCCAGACUCCUACGGGAGGCAGCAGUAGGGAAUCUUCCGCAAUGGACGAAAGUCUGACGGAGCAACGCCGCGUGAGUGAUGAAGGCUUUCGGGUCGUGAAACUCUGUUGUUAGGGAAGAACAAGUGCUAGUUGAAUAAGCUGGCACCUUGACGGUACCUAACCAGGAAGCCACGGCUAACUACGUGCCAGCCGCCGCAGUAA
rnacentral:rRNA from 1 species